AAAUGAUUACACAGAGAGGGGCAAGGUAUAAUUUACCCUAAAUAAUCCCAAAACCUAUAUAAGGAAGGAGACGAGGCUGCGAGCAGAAGAAGAAGGGCGGGAGGGUUCAAUUGAGAAGUAAAUUAGAAAAAAAUUUAAACAUAAAAUAUGAAAGUGGGAAAGUGAUUACACAGAAAGAGGGGCAAGGUGUAAUUUACCCUAAAUAAUCCCAAAACCUAUAUAAGGAAGGAGAAGAGGCUGCGAGCAGAAGAAGAAGGGAUUGAUUCUGCGUCAAUUUUAGGAAUUAGAAGAAUUUCACAGCCAAAGAUGGGGUUUGUUAAUGAAAUUUUGAGGAGGAGAUGUAGCGAGAAAGCAGUAGUCAUUGUGAUGAUUGUAUCCUGUCUUGCUGGAGGUUUUGUUGGCAGUCGUCUUGGCCUGGCAACUAGAAGAAUUUCACAGCCAAAGAUGGGGCCUCUUUCUGAAACUGCAAAAAAGUGGCUUCUGGGAAUUCCAGCCGUUAUUGCUGGAGUUUUUGCCGGCCGUUGUCUUGCCGAGAUGCACAACCUGCAAAAUGAGCAGCAUGCGAUGGCAAUGCAGGCAAUAAAACUGUUCGCCCAGGAAAUUCAGAAGCGGGAAAUGGAACGCAAGAGUAACAGUGCAAAUACAGUUCGUCGAGAUGCGGCUGGUUCGAAGGAUGGAAUUUAGAGCAUGCAGUACUCUUUCAUUCCCUUUUGAAUGAAAAUACAUUAUAAGUUAUACAAAAAUAGUGAUAUGCAUGAAGUGAUUGUGAAGUGAAAUGAUGAAGGGGCGACACGUGUCUCACUUAAGGGAGCCAAAAUUAUACAACAAAAUGAGAUUUACUGCAUGAGAAGAAAGGGAUUCUCAGGUAUAUCGGUGUAUUAGCUGCUUGAGCCUACUGAACUUCCUGCAUUGUCUUCUCCAUUUUACAAUUGUCACUGCGGCAGAAUUUUCUUCUGUAUCAAAUACGAAACUUGUCAAAUAUCAAGGUUUCAUAGUGGGUUCUCUCAUUGUUAUGGAAUUACCUAUGCAUUGUUUGAGCACUCUCAGAUUACAAUAGUGCAUCAAAUAAUGUACCACGGAUGAGUCAAACUGAUUUCACUGUUCUUA